rnacentral:rRNA from 1 species
UUCUUGGAGAGUUUGAUCCUGGCUCAGGACGAACGCUGGCGGCGUGCCUAAUACAUGCAAGUCGAGCGAAUCACUUCGGUGGUUAGCGGCGGACGGGUGAGUAACACGUGGGCAACCUGCCUGUAAGACUGGGAUAACACCGGGAAACCGGUGCUAAUACCGGAUA